rnacentral:tRNA from 1 species
GAGGGUAUAGCUCAGUGAUACAGUACGUGCUUAGCACGCGCACGGUCCUGGGUUCAAUCCCCAGUACCUCCA